CCUUCUCCAUCCAUUUCGCCGUUAUCCAACAGGCCCAAGACGAUGCCAGUUUUAGGAGAGCAGUGUUACAGUCAGCAUGUCCAUGAACUCCGAGCCCACUUCUUGGGGUACAGCUUUUGGGUCACCUAGCAUGGAAUGGUCACGAGCCAGCACUCGAAGAAGAAAAAACAGUUACU